GAUAAACGCUGGCGGCGUGCCUAAUACAUGCAAGUCGAGCGAACAGACGAGGAGCUUGCUCCUCUGAUGUUAGCGGCGGACGGGUGAGUAACACGUGGAUAACCUACCUAUAAGACUGGGAUAACUUCGGGAAACCGGAGCUAAUACCGGAUAACAUGUUGAACCGCAUGGUACAACAGUGAAAGACGGUCUUGCUGUCACUUAUAGAUGGAUCCGCGCCGCAUUAGCUAGUUGGUAAGGUAACGGCUUACCAAGGCAACGAUGCGUAGCCGACCUGAGAGGGUGAUCGGCCACACUGGAACUGAGACACGGUCCAGACUCCUACGGGAGGCAGCAGUAGGGAAUCUUCCGCAAUGGGCGAAAGCCUGACGGAGCAACGCCGCGUGAGUGAAGAAGGUCUUCGGAUCGUAAAACUCUGUUAUUAGGGAAGAACAAAUGUGUAAGUAACUAUGCACGUCUUGACGGUACCUAAUCAGAAAGCCACGGCUAACUACGUG
rnacentral:rRNA from 1 species